AGUGAGCAGAAGGGGGAGAGCAGAGAGAGAGAGAGAGAGAGAGAGAACACUGAUGGGGGAGAAGAGGUUGAGCAGGUUGAGCAAGGGAGGUAUCGGAACUGACUGGCGAGUAAGAAUAGAUACAGCUUUCUGCAAACUCUUUCCUGGAUUAGCAACUGGAUGCAAGGCCGUGACAUAACUACAUUUGCUGGACCCUAUCGCAUAUUUUUAUGUGAGGUCGUGUUAUCUUGAUGUUCAUCAGAAGUGAUAUGCUGUAUCAUGAGAAAUUGGGAUCUCGGUAGUACUUGUUUUAACAUCAUUUGGCAACAUAUUCAUCACUACAUC